AUUGAACGCUGGCGGCAGGCCUAACACAUGCAAGUCGAGCGAGCGGCGGACGGGUGAGUAAUGUCUGGGAAACUGCCUGAUGGAGGGGGAUAACUACUGGAAACGGUAGCUAAUACCGCAUACCAUCAGAUGUGCCCAGAUGGGAUUAGCUAGUAGGUGGGGUAACGGCUCACCUAGGCGACGAUCCCUAGCUGGUCUGAGAGGAUGACCAGCGACACGGGAGCGGGGACACGCUCCAGGCUCCUACGGGAGGGAGCAGUGGGGAAUGUGGCACAGUGGGGGGAAGCCUUAUGCAGCCAGGCGGCGUAUGUGAAGAAGGCCUUCGGGUUGUAAAGCACUUUCAGCGGGUAGGCGUUACCCGCAGAAGAAGCACCGGCUAACUCCGUGCCAGCCGCCGCGGUAAUUC
rnacentral:rRNA from 1 species